UGGGGAAUAUUGGACAAUGGGCGGAAGCCUGAUCCAGCCAUGCCGCUUGCGUGAAGAAGGCCUUUUGGUUGUAAAGCACUUUAAGCGCGGAGGAGGCUACUUGGAUUAAUACUCUAGGAUAGUGGACGUUACUCGCAGAAUAAGCACCGGCUAACUCUGUGCCAGCAGCCGCGGUAAUUCAGUGGGUGCGAGCGUUAAUCGGAUUUACUGGUCGUAAAGCGUGCGUAGGCGGCUUCUUAAGUCGGAUGUGAAAUCCCUGAGCUUAACUUAGGAACUGCAUUCGAUACUGGGAAGCUAGAGUAUGGGAGAGGAUGGUAGAAUUCCAGGUGUAGCGGUGAAAUGCGAAGAGAUCAGGAGAAAUACCGGUGGCGAAGACAGCCAUCUGGCCUAAUACUGACGCUGAGGUACGAAAGCAUGGGGAGCAAACAGG
rnacentral:rRNA from 1 species